rnacentral:misc_RNA from 1 species
ACGUAUCUCUGACGGCGAGGGUGCGCCCAGCUCCGUACCGAAAGGACGUGCAGCGGGCGAGCCCGAGCUGCUCAACCUUUGCAAACCCACCGUGCACUUUUGUCGGCAGAGGGCCCCAGCGGCCCCGAGCCGGAUCACAAACUCCAAGUUUGAUUUGAUUUGAAUGUGAAGCAGACAAGUGCCGCCUAAACUUUAA